AGAUAUCUGCGAUGCACGACGGCCUGUGCUUAAUUCAACCGACAUAUCAGACACGGGAAUUUAGUGUUUGCGAGAUAUGACAUGCCCCCAAUGGGGGAAGUCAGUGUCAACCAACGAGAUACCCACCUAUACAAGGGCGGGUCUGAAUUAACUAAUGGCUACGUCAUUGCGGAUUUUUG
rnacentral:other from 1 species